AAGGUUAAGCCUCACGGAUCAUUAGUACUGGUUAGCUCAAUGCAUCGCUGCACUUACACACCCAGCCUAUCAACGUCAUAGUCUUUAACGUUCCUUCAGGGGGCUUAAAGCCCCAGGGAAGACUCAUCUCGAGGCAAGUUUCCCGCUUAGAUGCUUUCAGCGGUUAUCUCUUCCGAAUUUAGCUACCGGGCAAUGCCAUUGGCAUGACAACCCGAACACCAGUGAUUCGUCCACUCCGGUCCUCUCGUACUAGGAGCAGCCCCUCUCAAUCUUCCAACGCCCACGGCAGAUAGGGACCGAACUGUCUCACGACGUUCUAAACCCAGCUCGCGUACCACUUUAAAUGGCGAACAGCCAUACCCUUGGGACCUACUUCAGCCCCAGGAUGUGAUGAGCCGACAUCGAGGUGCCAAACACCGCCGUCGAUAUGAACUCUUGGGCGGUAUCAGCCUGUUAUCCCCGGAGUACCUUUUAUCCGUUGAGCGAUGGCCCUUCCAUUCAGAACCACCGGAUCACUAAGACCUACUUUCGUACCUGCUCGAGCCGUCACUCUCGCAGUCAAGCUAGCUUAUGCCUUUGCACUAACCUCACGAUGUCCGACCGUGAUUAGCUAACCUUCGUGCUCCUCCGUUACUCUUUGGGAGGAGACCGCCCCAGUCAAACUACCCACCAGACACUGUCCUCACCCC
rnacentral:rRNA from 1 species